rnacentral:miRNA from 1 species
ACAGUGAUGGCCAACUUGGCCCUCCAGCUGUUUUGGGACUACAAUUCCCAUCAUCCCUGACCACUGGUCCUGUUAGCUAGGGAUGAUGAGAGUUGUAGUCCCAAAACAGCUGGAGGGCCAGGUUUGGCCAUCACUGAU